rnacentral:rRNA from 1 species
CUGCGGACGGCUCAGUAAAUCAGUGAUAAUCUAUUUGAUUUUCUCUCCCAAUGGAUAACCGUGGGAAAUCUAGAGCUAAUACAUGCGGUAUCUUGGCGUGCUCUCGGGCGCGUCAAAGCAUUUAUUAGACUAAACCAUCUACUAUGCUUGCAUAGUAAGGGGAAUCUGGAUAACUUUGCUGAUCGUAUGGCCUUGUGCCGGCGACGUUUCAAUUGAGUUUCUGCCCUAUCAACUUGUUGGUAAGGUAUUGGCUUACCAAGGUUGCAACGGGUAACGGGGAAUCAGGGUUCGAUUCCGGAGAGGGAGCCUGAGAAACGGCUACCACAUCCAAGGAAGGCAACAGGCGCGCAAAUUACCCAAUCUAGACAGUAGGAGGUGGUGAAGAGAAUUACUAAGUAGUGGUCCUAUGGAUUACUUGUUUGGAAUGAACGUAACUUAAGAAAUUCGAUGAGAAACAACUGGAGGGCAAGUCCUGGUGCCAGCAGCCGCGGUAAUUCCAGCUCCAGUAGUUUGCUUUAAAGUUGUUGCGUUUAAAACGCUCGUAGUUGGAUCACGCAGUGAUGUCCAGUAAUCUUGUAUGUUUUACUGCUUUUGAGUCCGUCUAGAACGGCCGAUUGUGGUGCUCAUGUUAGAUAAUUAUGCUGGACAUUACUAGUUGCACGUGAGAUGGAAUGUUGGCCUUUAAUGAGCCGGUAUUCUCGUCUUGCGGGGUGUGCCUUGAAUAAAACAGAGUGCUCAAAGCAGGUUUUUGCCUGAAUGUUAUAGCAUGGAACGAACAAUCGUGUAUAUGUGCGCUUCAUUUUUCAUCUCAAACCUUUGGUUUGUUAUUGAAUGGGUUGUGCACGGCACCCACCAAAGUAUGGCUGUUGGUUCCAUAUACGGUGAUGAUUAACAGGAGCGGUUGGAGGCAUCGGUAUUUGGCCGCGAGAGGUGAAAUUCUUAGACCGGCCAAGGACUAACAAAUGCAAAGGCACUUGUCUAGACCGUUUCCAUUAAUCAAGAACGAAAGUGGGGGGUUCGAAGACGAUCAGAUACCGUCGUAGUCCCCACCGUAAACUAUGCCGACCUGGGAUCAGUUUAGAGAUGUUACAAGCUCUAGAUUGGUCCCCCUGGGAAACCUGAAGUUUUUCGGUUACGGGGAGAGUAUGGUCGCAAGGCUGAAACUUAAAGGAAUUGACGGAAGGGCACCACCAGGGGUGGAGCCUGCGGCUUAAUUUGACUCAACACGGGGAAACUUACCUGGUCCGGACAUCGAUAGGAUUAACAGAUCAAUAGCUCUUUUAUGAUCCGAUGAGUGGUGGUGCAUGGCCGUUCUUAGUUCGUGGAGUGAUCUGUCGGCUCAAUUGCGAUAACGAACGAGACUACAGUCUCCAUUUGAGAGAUACAAGCAGACGUGUCAGUGCUGUCAGCUUUAUUGUUGGGCGAUGGCAUGUUGCAGGAAGAGUGUUGGGAGUGAUGGUUGGUGCUGCGGGGCAACUUGUGGUUCUGGCUGUUGUUUUUGGCAUUUCUCCCUUGUAUCACGCAGCAGUUGGUUUCGAUCGGCUGUUGCCUCAUGGAGAGACAACGAGGUAUAAUCAAGCUCGAGGAAA